GAUGAACGCUGGCGGCGUGCCUAAUACAUGCUAGUCGAGCGAACAGACGAGGAGCUUGCUCCUCUGACGUUAGCGGCGGACGGGUGAGUAACACGUGGAUAACCUACCUAUAAGACUGGGAUAACUUCGGGAAACCGGAGCUAAUACCGGAUAAUAUAUUGAACCGCAUGGUUCAAUAGUGAAAGACGGUUUUGCUGUCACUUAUAGAUGGAUCCGCGCCGCAUUAGCUAGUUGGUAAGGUAACGGCUUACCAAGGCGACGAUGCGUAGCCGACCUGAGAGGGUGAUCGGCCACACUGGAACUGAGACACGGUCCAGACUCCUACGGGAGGCAGCAGUAGGGAAUCUUCCGCAAUGGGCGAAAGCCUGACGGAGCAACGCCGCGUGAGUGAUGAAGGUCUUCGGACCGUAAAACUCUGUUAUUAGGGAAGAACAAAUGUGUAAGUAACUAUGCACGUCUUGACGGUACCUAAUCAGAAAGCCACGGCUAACUACGUG
rnacentral:rRNA from 1 species